rnacentral:sRNA from 1 species
AAAAGAAGCUAAAACCCAAAACCUAACGAGGAGGAGAAAAAACGAAUACAAUUUUAUGGAAUGGCCAUCAACAAAAAUACAGUAAUAAAAGCAGAAACGCUAAUACACCAUGUCAAUAACAUAGUAGCACAAUAUAAUAGAAUCACACAAUUAGUAAGUUCUCGAGAUAACAAGCUAACUAGUGAAAACCAGCAUCAAUGCCAAAGGCUAUUACGAUCAUUGAAUACAAGGUUGACAACCAUUGCAGAAAGAUGAGGUAUUGAGAUACAUGUCC